rnacentral:rRNA from 1 species
UAACGCGUGGGUAACCUGCCUCAUACAGGGGGAUAACAGUUAGAAAUGGCUGCUAAUACCGCAUAAGCGCACAGUACUGCAUGGUACAGUGUGAAAAACUCUGGUGGUAUGAGAUGGACCCGCGUCUGAUUAGCUAGUUGGUGAGGUAAGGGCUCACCAAGGCAACGAUCAGUAGCCGACCUGAGAGGGUGAACGGCCACAUUGGGACUGAGACACGGCCCAAACUCCUACGGGAGGCAGCAG